AAUCAACGCUGGCGGCGUGCCUCAGACAUGCAAGUCGAACGAUUAAAGCUCUCUUCGGAGAGUGCAUAAAGUGGCGCACGGGUGAGUAACACGUAAGUAAUCUACCUUCGAGUGGGGAAUAACAUCGGGAAACCGAUGCUAAUACCGCAUAAUGCAGCGGCAUCGCAAGAUGACAGUUGUUAAAGAUUUAUCGCUUGAAGAGGAGCUUGCGGCAGAUUAGCUAGUUGGUAAGGUAAUGGCUUACCAAGGCUACGAUCUGUAACCGGUCUAAGAGGACGGUCGGUCACACUGACACUGAAUAACGGGUCAGACUCCUACGGGAGGCAGCAGUCGGGAAUUUUGGGCAAUGGGCGAAAGCCUGACCCAGCAACGCCGCGUGAAGGAUGAAGUAUUUCGGUAUGUAAACUUCGAAAGAAUAGGAAGAAUAAAUGACGGUACUAUUUAUAAGGUCCGGCUAACUACGUAGCCAGCAGCCGCCGUAAU
rnacentral:rRNA from 1 species